GGGAGCUGCCCUAAUUAUAUGCCAAAGUAAUGACCGUGGAAUACAGGGAGUUGGCCAAAGAAAAUGCUUUGAAUAGCCAGCCCACUUACAUAAUGAACAACUCCAACAGCCACCGAACUGAAUCCUGGUCAGAGUGAGCUCACGUAUGAAAAACCGCAGAUCACCAAGUCCAAGGCACAGCCUGGGCCCAGGAGGAGGAGACCAGAGGCCUCAUGAGAUCACCAGACACUGCCUGAGUAAAUUUGUUUGCAUUUAAUAAAAACCUAAAAAGGGAUGAGACCGACAGAGGUCCAAGAGAGAGCCUGUGCAAGCACACAAGCAGGGGGAGCAUGAGGCAGAGGGAGAAGCAGGCUCCCCACUGAGCAAGGAACCCAAUGCGGACUCAACCUGGGAUCAGGACCUGAGCCAAAGGCGGACACUUCACUGACUGAGGCACCCAGAUGUCCUGAGAAGACUGCUUUAUGCAGCUACACAGGCAAAUGUAUUUUGCAAGAAAGACACUCAUCUACCACCUGAAGAUCAGGCUACCACAGAUGGCGGCCACAUCAAACAAACUACGACAAUUACAGGUUCCCUGACACGAGAUUGAGAAACGCCGCCAGAAGCCGGCCACUGCAGAUCCUGUUCCCAUUAAUGGCACCAAGGGAUGCACGCUGGUUACGCGAAGCUUCGCCACCUUCAACUCUGCCGGCCCUGAGGACUUACAGCUGGGUCAGCUUUACGAUUCAGUUCUUGUGGCUUUUCUAAAGGUACUCUCGGUUACUUGUGCCAUUAUUUAAAACCACGGAAAACAUCUCAGCUGGAACAUCUCUGAAUAGAAUGUGUUGAGUUUUUGAUGAAAUAAUAAUUAUUAGAGCAAAAUGUAUAGAGUCUCCUAUCACUGCCUCCACCAAUUCUUACUUUGAAUUUCCAAGCUACAAAAAAGUUAUGAGAAUACAAAGUAGAAAGAAAACCUGAGCCCUCACACACUGCUGGGGGAAUGUACAAGAGUGCAGGUACUUUGGAAAACAGCUUGGGGGGCCUUCAAAAAGAUAAAGACAGUAGGGCGCCUGGGUGGCUCAGUCAGUUAAGUGUCUGACUCUUGAUUUCCGCCCAGGUCAUGAUCUGAGGGUCAUGAGACAGAGCCUUCUGUUGGGCUCCGUGCUGGGCGUGGAGAUACUCUCCAC